UACGGAGGGGGCUAGCGUUGUUCGGAAUUACUGGGCGUAAAGCGCACGUAGGCGGUUAUUUAAGUCAGAGGUGAAAGCCCGGGGCUCAACCCCGGAAUAGCCUUUGAGACUGGAUAGCUUGAAUCCAGGAGAGGUGAGUGGAAUUCCGAGUGUAGAGGUGAAAAUUCGUAGAUAUUCGGAAGAACACCAGUGGCGAAGGCGGCUACCUGGCCCACUCUUGACGCUGAGGCGCGAAAGCUAGGGGAGCAAACGGG
rnacentral:rRNA from 1 species